AGAAAAGAAGAAAACAAAAACAUGGUUGUAUGCCCCUAUGUCCUAAAGGUAACCAAAGGAUAGGUUCUAGUUUCAUCUAUUUGUGAAUGGGUAAUCUAGCUAAUCUAACUUCUUCAUCAAUAAUAGGCUCUUAUUGUGUGCUCAAGUUCAACUAUAAUAAAUUACUUGAAACUCUACUUAGGCUACCAAGUUUCCCUUUGUAGUCCCAUAUAUGAGAG
rnacentral:lncRNA from 1 species